rnacentral:tRNA from 1 species
GGGGGCGUGGCUCAGCUGGGAGAGCGCUGCCUUCGCAAGGCAGAGGUCGGGGGUUCGAAUCCCCCCGUCUCCACCA